rnacentral:tRNA from 1 species
GGAGAGGUGACAGAGUGGCCGAUUGUGCGGCACUGGAAAUGCCGUGUACCUAGCGGUACCGGGGGUUCGAAUCCCCCCCUCUCCGCCA